rnacentral:rRNA from 1 species
GAUGAACGCUGGCGGCGUGCCUAAUACAUGCAAGUCGAGCGAACGGACGAGAAGCUUGCUUCUCUGAUGUUAGCGGCGGACGGGUGAGUAACACGUGGAUAACCUACCUAUAAGACUGGGAUAACUUCGGGAAACCGGAGCUAAUACCGGAUAAUAUUUUGAACCGCAUGGUUCAAAAGUGAAAGACGGUCUUGUUGUCACUUAUAGAUGGAUCCGCGCUGCAUUAGCUAGUUGGUAAGGUAACGGCUUACCAAGGCAACGAUGCAUAGCCGACCUGAGAGGGUGAUCGGCCACACUGGAACUGAGACACGGUCCAGACUCCUACGGGAGGCAGCAGCAGGGAAUCUUCCGCAAUGGGCGAAAGCCUGACGGAGCAACGCCGCGUGAGUGAUGAAGGUCUUCGGAUCGUAAAACUCUGUUAUUAGGGAAGAACAUAUGUGUAAGUAACUGUGCACAUCUUGACGGUACCUAAUCAGAAAGCCACGGCUAACUACGU